ACUCUCCUUCUUCCUCCCUCCUUAAUCUCAUCGAUGUCUCAGAGCAAUGAAUGUACCGUUUCAGAUUGCGAAAAUAUUCAUCCACAUACAAAGCUUCAAAUCUAAUUAUUAGAAACACAAAAAAGUAUACCAAACAUCCACUCCAGCCGUUUCAUAUUCUUUUGUUUUGGCUUAAGCUUCGAGCCGUUUCAGAAACUUCUCAAUCUAAUCCUAUAUAAAUACUAUCACAUCAACAGAUUGUGUAGUAAGAAGAAUUCAAUCGAGUAUUUAUCAUGCUAAGAAGUGUCGACAUGUCAUAGAAGAGCAAGAUUCUUCAUGUGAGAUAGAUUACCUCGACCUUGGCAGUUCACAUAACCAAGAGAUCUGACAUUCUCAGGGCCUUUGAGUCUUACCUUGGAGGCUGAAACAUCACCAACAAUCACUACUGGGAAGUUCUGUGUUGAGCUUGCUUUUGAUGAUGGCAAAGAUAGCGUCACAUUUGUUGUCUUCGAUAAGGAGAUGACAAAACUUACCAAACAAGAAGCUGUUGUUCUUACCCUAGAGGAGGGCUCAAACAGUGGAGAGGAGGAUCUCCCAAGUUGUCUUGAAGAGCUAACAUGGAAGGAGUUUGUGUUUCAGAUCCGUGACACACCUUUCAACUUCACACCCAGCCACCGUACAUUCACUGUUUCCACCAUCACUGAAGAUAUCACCAUAGAGAACCAUGGCUAGGAACACGGUAAGAACAUUCUUCCAAGUGAAGGUACUGUAGGAUUGGCAGCAUCGCCUUUGGGGCCGUCUGUUUUGGGAGACAAAGAUCGGUGAGGAAAGUGCUGCCGCAGAUCCUCCAGAGAUUUCAGACGCUCAUAACAAACGCAAGCGCCCCCGUGAGUGAUUGGGAAUAUCAAUACCUAUUGGCCCGUCAACCGUUCUAUCUAUGUUUUCAAAAACUGCUACUAGCUUUGUUUCCAUUAUCAACUUUGGAUGUUUUUCUUUUAUUGUUUUCUUCUGAACGGAUAUUUUAUCUCUGUUUUGGAAUAUUAAUGAAUCUUUGAUGGAUUUAUUCAAAACUUAAAA